CUGGAGCGGGUAAGCAAAGCUCUUCAUCAGGUGUAAAUGGAUCUGAGACCUCCUGUCCAUUUACACUUGAUGGAAAGACUUGGGUAUCCCAACAGCUAG
rnacentral:miRNA from 1 species